ensembl:misc_RNA
AGACAGUACAGAAUGAAUCUUGGAGGAAGGGUCCCUGCUGGGGCUCCAAGGGAACCAGUGUAGACAUGCACAGCCUUCAGUUUCCUGACCU